UUCUCGCCACUUCCCCUAUUUCUCCUGAUCUCUCCCCCAUUAUCGCCACGAACGAGAUCGAUCUGAGGCUCCCUACGAUCCACCCGCCCCCAGCUAGGUCGAACGGCUCCGCCCUCCUCAUCCGCGGGUUCGGAGCUGCGGCCUCGCCCGUGAUCUUCUCCUCCGUGCCCCAGCCCGCUUGAACAUCGCCGCCCUCCUCACUGGCGGGAUCAGAGACGCCGGCCUCACCCACGACGUCUUGUGCGCCCUCUUCCCUGGUUUCCUCCCACGGGUGUUGCACCGUCCGCAUCCAUGAGAAUGCCUUCGCCUGCAACCGCGAGAAUGCCGCUGCCCGCACCCGCGUGAACGCCGCCGCCCUUCUCAAGGAUUACGUGCCGACUGUCUUCGACAACUUCAGCGCCAACAAUGUCAUUGACGCGAGCACCGUCAGUCAACCUGGUAUUGUGGGGUACAACAGGCAAAGCAAGCUUCUACAAAGCCACAAAGAAGAAAGCGUGUCCAGUCCUACGUAUUUCUACCAACUUGUAAGUAUUCUACCAAGCUCAUUGUAGUUCCAUGUCUAACGCAACUCAUUGUUUGUGCUGGAUCAAUUGUUCUGUCCCAAUAGGAAAAAGUGGCGUUGAUAACGAACGGAAAAACAUGGUUGUCUUUUAGAAAAAGGCAAGUACAACAAUGAGGACCCUAGUCCCAUUGAGUUUUCCAAAGAGACACAUAACAAUUGAAAGGUGGGAUGCGUGAGCGCUGCUGCCCUUGAAUCUUGUACCGCUCCAGAAGACCGUAUCUAGAACACAAACUAUGGAUGAAGUUCUAAAGCAGUACAACUCCUCAAGCGCCUUCCUUUCUAGGGUACCAAUAAGGAAAUCAUCCACGCCAAGUGAGGAGAAAAAGUUAAACAACAGAAGAGGGAGGGCUACGUGUUCUAAGUGUUUCCAAAUAAAGGGCUAUGUGUAGCUUUGCCUCCCUUUGAAGUUUUCAUGCUAUUCUAGCAUUAGCUUAGUUUGCUUGUCUUAAGUUAUGUUAAUUCUAUCGUGUAACUUAUUUGGUUAUGUACGAUGAUAUCCCGUUAUGAGUUAGAUAUAUAUUGUGUU